UACGAAGGGGGCUAGCGUUGUUCGGAAUUACUGGGCGUAAAGCGUGCGCAGGCGGCCAUCCAAGUCAGUGGUGAAAGCCCGGAGCUCAACUCCGGAAUUGCCAUUGAAACUGUUUGGCUCGAGUACGAGAGAGGUGAGUGGAAUUCCCAGUGUAGAGGUGAAAUUCGUAGAUAUUGGGAAGAACACCAACGGCGAAAGCACUCUGCUGGGCCGACACUGACACUGAGAGACGAAAGCUAGGGGAGCGAAUGGG
rnacentral:rRNA from 1 species